rnacentral:tRNA from 2 species
UGACAGUAUAUUUAAAGUUUUAUAAUGAUUACUCUGCGAGUAAAGGUUGAAUUUUGUUAGUUCUACUGUUAU